rnacentral:lncRNA from 1 species
GAUCAAGGAUAAGGUGUGGCCAUAGAGAUCAAUGUAGCUUCCCUCACUAGGAAACUCAACAUGAUUUUCAUUAUUCCACCCAAAAGUGGCUAUACAAUAAUAAUCUUGCAAAAGGAAUAAGUGGCGGCUAGCUUGCCUAGUUAUGUUUUCUUAGCCUCACUUAUAUUACAUAUUGUAAUUGUAUAACAACCAUCCUUAUUUACAUGAAUAUUUUACGGUUAUAAAUGAAAUGUUCCAUUUUAUGAAAUGUUUUUUUCUUUCUAUUUGUGC